rnacentral:rRNA from 1 species
UUGAACGCUGGCGGCAGGCCUAACACAUGCAAGUCGAGCGGAUGAAGGGAGCUUGCUCCUGGAUUCAGCGGCGGACGGGUGAGUAAUGCCUAGGAAUCUGCCUGGUAGUGGGGGAUAACGUCCGGAAACGGGCGCUAAUACCGCAUACGUCCUGAGGGAGAAAGUGGGGGAUCUUCGGACCUCACGCUAUCAGAUGAGCCUAGGUCGGAUUAGCUAGUUGGUGGGGUAAAGGCCUACCAAGGCGACGAUCCGUAACUGGUCUGAGAGGAUGAUCAGUCACACUGGAACUGAGACACGGUCCAGACUCCUACGGGAGGCAGCAGUGGGGAAUAUUGGACAAUGGGCGAAAGCCUGAUCCAGCCAUGCCGCGUGUGUGAUGAAGGUCUUCGGAUUGUAAAGCACUUUAAGUUGGGAGGAAGGGCAGUAAGUUAAUACCUUGCUGUUUUGACGUUACCAACAGAAUAAGCACCGGCUAACUUCGUG